GCUGUGGUGGGAUGGAGUGAAGUUGCAUGGCAUGGUGUGGCUUGGCAUAGCAAUGCGUGGCAUAGAAAAAAAAGCAACAUUUUCAGAUGUUCGUCAUUCAUUUAUCUCUACCUGAGUGUGAAACUUGGUUUUGAUGGUGAUUGACAGAAGAGGAAGAAACCUGAAGACACCAAUUCAUUCGAGAUUCAACUGGUCUGGAAGAAUUCCUCCAACAAUUCAAGCUGUCUUUGAACAUAAUUUCCUUUUUCCUCCUCUCUAGUUAGCCUGUCUAGAACAUUUUAACACUUAAGCUUCUACAAUUAUUUGCAAGACACAUUUUUCCUUAUCUCUAUCUCUUACGAAUCCUUCAGCAUUUAAA